rnacentral:rRNA from 1 species
AACGAACGCUGGCGGCAUGCCUAACACAUGCAAGUCGAACGAACCCUUCGGGGUGAGUGGCGCACGGGUGCGAAACACGUGGGAACCUGCCCUUAGGUUCGGAAUAACAGUUAGAAAUGACUGCUAAUACCGGAUAAUGUCUUCGGACCAACGAUUUAUCGCCUUUGGAUGGGCCCGCGUAGGAUUAGCUAGUUGGUGAGGUAAAGGCUCACCAAAGCGACGAUCCUUAGCUGGUCUUAGAGGAUGAUCAGCCACACUGGGACUGAGACACGGCCCAGACUCCUACGGGAGGCAGCAGUGGGGAAUAUUGGACAAUGGGCGAAAGCCUGAUCCAGCAAUGCCGCGUGAGUGAUGAAGGCCUUAGGGUUGUAAAGCGCUUUUACCUGGGAUGAUAAUGACAGUACCAGGAGAAUAAGCCCCGGCUAACUCCGUGCCAGCAGCCGCAGUAAGAC